rnacentral:rRNA from 1 species
CCUACGGGCGGCAGCAGUGGGGAAUAUUGCACAAUGGGGGAAACCCUGAUGUAGCAACGCCGCGUGGGUGAAGAAGUAUUUCGGUAUGUAAAGCCCUAUCAGCAGGGAAGAGAAUGACGGUACCUGACUAAGAAGCCCCGGCUAACUACGUGCCAGCAGCAGCGGGACUACGGAGGGGGCAAGCGUUAUCCGGAUUUACUGGGUGUAAAGGGAGCGUAGACGGUUGUGCAAGUCUGAAGUGAAAGCCCGGGGCUCAACUGCGGAACGGCUUUGGAAACUGGGUAACUGGAGUGCUGGAGAGGUAGGCGGAAUGCGUGGUGUAGCGGUGAAAUGCGUAGAGAUCAGGAAGAACACCGGCGGCGAAGGCGGCUUACUGGACAGUAACUGACGUUGAGGCUCGAAAGCGUGGGGAGCAAACAGGAUUAGAUACCCCAGUAGUC